GACGAACGCUGGCGGCGUGCUUAACACAUGCAAGUCGAACGGAAAGGCCCUGCUUUUGUGGGGUGCUCGAGUGGCGAACGGGUGAGUAACACGUGAGUAACCUGCCCUUGACUUUGGGAUAACUUCAGGAAACUGGGGCUAAUACCGGAUAGGAGCUCCUGCUGCAUGGUGGGGGUUGGAAAGUUUCGGCGGUUGGGGAUGGACUCGCGGCUUAUCAGCUUGUUGGUGGGGUAGUGGCUUACCAAGGCUUUGACGGUAGCCGGCCUGAGAGGGUGACCGGCCACAUUGGGACUGAGAUACGGCCCAGACUCCUACGGGAGGCAGCAGUGGGGAAUAUUGCACAAUGGGCGGAAGCCUGAUGCAGCAACGCCGCGUGCGGGAUGACGGCCUUCGGGUUGUAAACCGCUUUCGCCUGUGACGAAGCGUGAGCGACGGUAAUGGGUAAAGAAGCACCGGCUAACUACGUG
rnacentral:rRNA from 1 species